UAGGGAAUCUUCGGCAAUGGCCGGAAGUCUGACCGAGAAACGCCGCGUGAGUGAAGAAGGUUUUCGGACCGUAAAGAUCUGUUGUUAGUGUAGAACGUUGGUAGGAGUGGAAAAUCUACCAAGUGACGGUAACUAACCAGAAAGGGACGGCUAACUACGUGCCAGCAGCCGCGGUAAUACGUAGGUCCCGAGCGUUGUCCGGAUUUAUUGGGCGUAAAGCGAGCGCAGGCGGUUCUUUAAGUCUGAAGUUAAAGGCAGUGGCUUAACCAUUGUACGCUUUGGAAACUGGAGGACUUGAGUGCAGAAGGGGAGAGUGGAAGUCCAUGUGUAGCGGUGACAUGCGUAGAUAUAUGGGGGACCACCGGUGGCGAAAGCGGCUCUCUGGUCUGUAACUGACGCUGAGGCUCGAAAGCGUGGGGAGCAAACAGG
rnacentral:rRNA from 1 species